AGAACGAACGUUGGCGGCGUGGAUUAGGCAUGCAAGUCGAACGAAUCCCCGUGGGGGUAACUCUGCGGGGGAAGUGGCGAACGGGGCAGUAAGGCGUGGGUAACCUACCCUGGGGACGGGGAUAGCCUUCCUAACGGAAGGGUAAUACCCGGCGACGUAGCGAGGGCGCAUGCCCUUGUUACCAAAUGAGUUUCGCCCUGGGAGGGGCUCACGUGGUAUUAGCUGGACGGCGGGGUAACGGCCCACCGUGGCCAAGAUGCCUAGCAGGUGUGAGAGCACGACCUGCGCCACUGGCACUGUGACACUGGCCAGACUCCUACGGGAGGCUGCAGUCGAGGAUCUUCGGCAAUGGGCGCAAGCCUGACCGAGCGACGCCGCGUGUGCGAUGAAGGCCUUCGGUUGUAAGCACUGUCGAGGGAAGAAGCCGCAAGGUUGAUCGACCCUGGAGGAAGCACGGGCUAAGUUCGUGCCAGCAGCCGCGGU
rnacentral:rRNA from 1 species